rnacentral:misc_RNA from 1 species
UUGUUAAAUUUGUUAAAUGGAUAGAAUGAUAUGUUUUUUAAUUGAAUAGGUAUUCUUGUGAUAUGCUUUUUAUUAAACAGUAUUGUAAUUUGUGAUAUGUUUUUAUUAAAUAGGUAUUGAUGCUCUUGCCAUGAUGUGUAAUUGUACAAAUUAUUGAAAAAAUCAAUUUUUUAAUGCUUUAAUUUUUUAUUUGCUUAAAUUGGGACAGCAUUGAUGGUUGUUGUUGCAAUUACAUAUAUUCUUCUAUGUGUCUUGAAUUGGGAUAGUCUUGAUAGUUGUUUAUAUGUCUCAUUGAACUCAACUAUGACAUGAAUUCUUCUAUAUGUUGCCUAAUUGUAUAUUCCAAAACCAUUAAUCUAUCAUUCAAAAUUUUGCCAUUGAAAUUUUAGUGAUGGGUAUUGUUUUGUUAGAUGGUUUUUAAUUUAUAUAGAUGGUUUUAGUGAUGACUAUUCUUCUAUAUGGUUUGUACAUAUAAACUUUUUUUUUAGGGGUUAGAUGGGCAUUGUUUUGUUGUUAAAAGUAUGAAUUUUUAUGUU